CAGUAGCCGCGGUAAUACGAAGGUCCCGAGCGUUGUUCGGAAUCACUGGGCGUAAAGGGAGCGUAGGCGGCGUGGUAAGUCAGAUGUGAAAUCCCAGGGCUCAACCCCGGAACUGCAUCCGAUACUGCCAUGCUAGAGGAUUGGAGAGGUAGCUGGAAUUCUCGGUGUAGCAGUGAAAUGCGUGGAGAUCAAGAGGAACACUCGUGGCGAAAGCGAGCUACUGGACAAUAACUGACGCUGAGGCUCGAAGGCCAGGGUAGCGAAAGGGAUUAGAUACCCGCGUAGUCCCUGUCUCUUAUAC
rnacentral:rRNA from 1 species